AUUGAACGCUGGCGGCAGGCUUAACACAUGCAAGUCGAGCGGGGUGAUGGUGCUUGCACUAUCACCUAGCGGCGGACGGGUGAGUAAUGCUUAGGAAUCUGCCUAUUAGUGGGGGACAACAUUUCGAAAGGAAUGCUAAUACCGCAUACGUCCUACGGGAGAAAGCAGGGGAUCUUCGGACCUUGCGCUAAUAGAUGAGCCUAAGUCGAAUUAGCUAGUUGGUGGGGUAAAGGCCUACCAAGGCGACGAUCUGUAGCGGGUCUGAGAGGAUGAUCCGCCACACUGGGACUGAGACACGGCCCAGACUCCUACGGGAGGCAGCAGUGGGGAAUAUUGGACAAUGGGCGCAAGCCUGAUCCAGCCAUGCCGCGUGUGUGAAGAAGGCCUUAUGGUUGUAAAGCACUUUAAGCGAGGAGGAGGCUACUUUAGAUAAUACCUAGAGAUAGUGGACGUUACUCGCAGAAUAAGCACCGGCUAACUCUGUGCCAGCCGCCGCCGUAACAC
rnacentral:rRNA from 1 species